rnacentral:rRNA from 1 species
AUACAACUCUCAGCAACGGAUAUCUUGGCUCUUGCAACGAUGAAGAACGCAGCGAAAUGCGAUACGUAGUGUGAAUUGCAGAAUUCCGCGAAUCAUCGAGUCUUUGAACGCAAGUUGCGCCCGAGGCUUGACCGAGGGCAUUUCUGCCAGAGCGUCAC